GCCGAUGUGGUGAAAUUGGUAGACACGCCAUCUUGAGGGGGUGGUGGGGAAACCCGUGCCGGUUCGACUCCGGCCAUCGGCACCA
rnacentral:tRNA from 1 species